rnacentral:piRNA from 1 species
UACAGAUUCUAUGAUUUCUCGAACCUUGUA